rnacentral:rRNA from 1 species
UACGUAGGGUGCGAGCGUUGUCCGGAAUUACUGGGCGUAAAGAGCUCGUAGGUGGUUUGUCGCGUUGUUCGUGAAAACCGCGGGCUUAACCCUCGGCGUGCGGGCGAUACGGGCAGACUGGAGUACUGCAGGGGAGACUGGAAUUCCUGGUGUAGCGGUGGAAUGCGCAGAUAUCAGGAGGAACACCGGUGGCGAAGGCGGGUCUCUGGGCAGUAACUGACGCUGAGGAGCGAAAGCGUGGGGAGCGAACAGG